CCUGUGCAAGUUUCCAGAGUGUGAAUCCCUUAAACUGCAGCAGCAAUGAUGGCUCCUCCUUGGCAGAAACAUGCUGAGAAGCAGUUGGGAAUCCCCUGCUCUGGAGCUGCAGCCUGAGGAACCUCAGCGUGUAAGAAGCGUCUCUGAGGCACUCACAUGGUGAUGGUUAUACAUCUCCUGCUUACCCCAACUUAGUGAAAGCUGUCUUCAAGCAAAUAAGACUGGCAGCAAGGCUGGGAGUGCAAUCACCUGCUGGCAUAAUCCCUG
rnacentral:lncRNA from 1 species